rnacentral:rRNA from 1 species
UACGUAGGGUGCAGGCGUUAAUCGGAAUUACUGGGCGUAAAAGCGUGCGCAGGCGGUUUUGCUAAGACAGGUGUGAAAAUCCCCCGGGCUUAACCUGGGAACUGCGCUUGUAACUGGCAAGCUGGAGUGUGGCAGAGGGGGGGUGGAAUUCCACGUGUAGCAGUGAAAAUGCGUAGAGAUGUGGAGGAACACCGAUGGCGAAGGCAGCCCCCCUGGGCUAACACUGAC